AGAGAUUAUUUCUCUUAGUUUAUCCAUUUAACAAAUUGUUUCUUCCUCUAUCAUAGAAGAAUGCCCCUGUAGGGCCUACAUCACUGUCUUCUGUCUACAGACCUCCUCCUUUUGAGGACAUUUUCUCUCAACUCAUUUUGCUGGGAGCUCCUAAAUAUCUCUCAAGAUCCAGCACAAAAUGAUGGCUCUGACUCAAAAUAACCCAAGCCAAAUACAUCAUCUCCCCCAGUCCCCAGGGUGAGAC
rnacentral:lncRNA from 1 species